CCGAGUUUUUCCCGGGAAGAGGCUCUCAAGACUAGCCAGUGCAGGAGGAGGAGUCGAACUCUGGAUAGCCUGUUUAUAAAGCCCUAACUGUGCCGAUGUUGACCGUUUUCUGAAACUCCUCCUCCAAAACCCACGCCAAACCACAAGAUGAAGGAAAUUCACACAUCAGGAUGCCAAAAACCAUGGAAGACUUCUGAUGUUCUGGGAGGGUUGACAAAGAUGGACCUUAAAUUCUAGAAUUUAGGUAUUCAUGGUUGAGAUCCUGAAGAAAACAUUUUCUGCUGAGCAGAAGCAAUUUAAUAAUUGCCUCCCUUCAUUGUAAGUUUUUUAUUUCUUCCUUAUGUCUGAUUAAUCCCCCAAUAUAAACUUCAAUUAAUUGAGCAGCUCUGCAAAAUAUAUGAAUAAAACACCACAUAUUAAGAUAUUA
rnacentral:lncRNA from 1 species